rnacentral:rRNA from 1 species
CUACGGGCUGCUGCAGGCGCGAAACCUUUACAAUGCACGCAAGUGUGAUAAGGGGAUCCCCAGUGCUCAUGCUUUGCAUGGGCUUUUGUUAAGUGUAAAUAGCUUGACGAAUAAGUGGUGGGUAAGACUGGUGCCAGCCGCCGCGGUAACACCAGCGCCACGAGUGGCAACCGCGUUUAUUGGGCCUAAAGCGUCCGUAGCUGGUCUGUUAAAUCUUUUGUGAAAUUGUACAGCUUAACUGUACAACGUGCAAGAGAGACUGGCAGGCUUGAGACCGGGAGGAGUCAGAAGUAUUCCGGGGGGAGCGGUAAAAUGUUAUAAUCCUCGGAGGACUACCUGUGGCGAAGGCGUCUGACUAGAACGGAUCUGACAGUGAGGGACGAAAGCCAGGGGAGCAAACCGGAUUAGAUACCCGUGUAGUC